AACUUUCAACAACGGAUCUCUUGGCUCACGCAUCGAUGAAGAACGCAGCGAAAUGCGAUAAGUAAUGUGAAUUGCAGAAUUCAGUGAAUCAUCGAAUCUUUGAACGCACCUUGCGCUCUCUGGUAUUCCGGAGAGCAUGCCUGUUAGAGUGUCA
rnacentral:rRNA from 1 species